rnacentral:tRNA from 1 species
UCCCCGGUAGUUCAGUUGGUAGAACGGUGGACUGUUAAUCCAUAUGUCGCUGGUUCGAGUCCAGCCCCGGGGAGCCA